UUUUCAUUAGCUCAAUGGUAGAGUAGGAUACUUCUAAUAUCCUGAUUUUAGUUCGAAUCUAGAAUGAAAAU
rnacentral:tRNA from 1 species